rnacentral:lncRNA from 1 species
GAAUGGAGUAGGUGUGGGUGUGUGUCCCCAAGCCAAGGCCCAGAGCGCUGUAAAAAUCUGAUUCAAAUACUAGUUGAAUCCAAGUAUUUCUGGGGUGAGAUGGUGCCCUGCAGCUAGCAGUGACCUGAAGCCUCAGCAGUAUUGCCUGUAAUAAUCCAAACCUGGGCAAAAGCUGCCUACAGCACGUUUUUUUUAACUUAUCAGCCUAUCUGUAUAACUCCUACUUCCUGCUGAGGCAUCAACUCUGGUUUAAAUGUUAACUCCACCCACCUGGGUGGAAAAGGGAGGCAAUUUCUAGACUUAAACGUGUUUCACAGAACACUUGAAAAACGAGUUUCUUCAUUUCACUUAAGCUGCUGAACUUCCCAGAGGCAGAGAUGGGCAUGUCUGCAAAUAAUACACAGGCCAACUCUCUGAAGAGGUGUGUAUCUAACCAUUCGUGCUGGCCUCGCUUCCUAGUUCGCUGUUUGCUGCCGAACUCUUACAGUGCUGAAACGAGCCCAUUGCUUUUAUUUACAGACAGCACCUGGCGGUGAUCAAGGGAAGGGAGAGCGAAAUACAGCCCAUCAUGGUUACAGAGGACUUAACGGAACUUAAACCCUGAGGCCCGCCCCUCAUUUAAGCAGGAUUUAAAUGCUGCCCACCCUGCAUGUAAGUCGAUUUCAUCCCAUUUGCUUCUGUUUAUUCCCCUUAUUUAAAAAUAAGGAUCCUUCUUAUCUGAGCAGCUCUGCGGCGUCAAGUCAGUGAGCAUCUCCAUCAAUCCCAGAGCGUGUUCGUCACCCCAUUUGGACUCGGUAGUUCCACCCCAUGAAACAGCUUCUAUGACUGCCCAAUGACACCAAAAAGCAAAGACCCCCCUCCAAGGGGAGAAGGGAAGGAGAUGACAUCCUAGGUCCAAAACAGACAUGAGUCUUGAGUACCAAGCAACCUCUGACAGAGAGCAGGAGGGAUGGGAAAACCGACAAAGCUGGUGUCGUAGCUGUGAGGAAGAGGCUUUGUGAGUCGAGGACCUUGCUGGGUUUUUUACUGGGGUUGGAUCUCAUUGUCCUUUCCAUGGAAGGAUCUUCCCUGCUUCCUGAAUCUCCCACCCUUGGAAGUGGGAGAGCGCACGAAUGUGUGAGCGCCUUGAAUUCACAGAGCAGGCUGCUCUGCACAAACGUGAGAGAGGCGGUCGGAGCAGCAGUGUCUUGAGGGCUUAUGUCUGCAGCAACUCUGCGUCCUAGAGAGCAGCUGAUGGGGAAGAAGUCUUCUCCGGCAGCUCUCAAGCCCUGGAAUCCUUGGCAGGGGGUGUCCUGCUGGCUUGCCUCGAAUGUGG